GGUUCGAUCCCCGGCUCAGAUUGAACGCUGGCGUGAUGUUUUACACAUGCAAGUCGAACGGCAGCACGGACUUCGGUCUGGUGGCGAGUGGCGAACGGGUGAGUAAUGUAUCGGAACGUGCCUAGUAGCGGGGGAUAACUACGCGAAAGCGUAGCUACGACGCAUACGUUCUUCGGGGAAAGCGGGGACCUUCGGGCCUCGCACUAUUAGAGCGGCCGAUAUCGGAUUAGCUGAAGUUGGUGGGGUAACGGCUCACCAAGGCGACGAUCCAGCUGGUUUGAGAGGACGCACCAGCCACUGGGACCGAGACACGGCCCAUUCCUACGGAGGCAGCAGUGGGGAAUUUUGGACAAUGGGGGAAACCCUGAUCCAGCCAUCCCGCGUGUGCGAUGAAGGCCUUCGCUGUAAAGCACUUUUGGCAGGAAAGAAAACGGCACGGGAUAAUACCCGUGCAACUGACGGUACCUGCAGAAGAAGCACCGGCGCACCACGCCAGCAGCCGCGGUAAUACGUAGGGUGCAAGCGUUAAUCAACACUGGGCGUAAGCGUAUGCAGGCGGUUCGAAAGAGGCGAUGAACCAGAGCUUAACUUUGGAACUGUAUUUUUAACUACUGAAAGCCAGAGGUGUCAGAGUGGAGGUGGAAUUCUCAUGUAGCAGUGAAAUGCGUAGAUAUGCGGAGGAACACCGAUGGCGAAGGCAGCUCUCCGGGAUAACACUGAUUUCGCCACUGAAAGCGUGGGGAGCAAACAGGAUUAGAUACUCUGAACCACGCCCGGAAACAUUAAUUGAUAGAUGUCAACUAGCUGUUGGGCUUCGGGCCUUGGUAGCGCAGCUAAUGCGUGAAGUUGACCGCCUGGGGAGUACGGUCGCAAGAUUAGAACCCAAAGGGAAUGAUGGGACCGUGGCCAAGCGCGGUGGAUGAUGUGGAUUAAUUCGAUGCAACGCGAAAACCUUACCUACCCUUGACAUGUCUGGAAUCCCGAAGAGAUUUGGGAGUGCUCGUAAGAGAAACCGAAACACAGGUGCUGCAUGGCUGUCGUCAGCUCGUGUCGAGAUGUUGGGUGUUAAGUCCCGCAACGAGCGCAACCCUUGUCAUUAGGUUGCUACGAAAGGGCACUCUAUCGAGAUUCGCCGGUGACAAACCGGAGGAAGGUGGGGAUGACGUCAAGUCCUCAUGGCCCUUAUGGGUAGGGCCUACACGUCAUACAAUGGUCGGGACAGAUGGUCGCCAACUGGCGAGGGGGAGCUAAUCCCAGAAACCCGAUCGUAGUCCGGAUCGCAGGUCUGCACCCGACUGCGUGUCGGAAUCGCUAGUAAUCGCGGAUCAGCAUGUCGCGGUGAAUACGUUCCCGGGUCUUGUACACACCGCCCGUCACACCAUGGGGAGUGGGUUUUACCAGAAGUAGUUAGGCCCAACCGUAUGAGGGCGAUUACCACGGUAGGAUUCAUGAUCAGUGAAGUCAACAAGGUAA
rnacentral:rRNA from 1 species